rnacentral:rRNA from 1 species
UACAGAGGUCUCAAGCGUUGUUCGGAUUCAUUGGGCGUAAAGGGUGUGUAGGUGGCGCCGUAAGUCGGGUGUGAAAUUUCGGAGCUUAACUCCGAAACUGCAUUCGAUACUGCGGUGCUUGAGGACUGGAGAGGAGACUGGAAUUCAUGGUGUAGCAGUGAAAUGCGUAGAGAUCAUGAGGAAGACCAGUGGCGAAGGCGGGUCUCUGGACAGUUCCUGACACUGAGGCACGAAGGCCAGGGAGCAAACGGG